CUGAAGAGAAGACAUGAACCUUGUGACAGAUAUGUGAAGUGGGGAUAGUCAGUGGAAGUGAGAGACCUUUAUUCUCAGGACCUGAAGCUCACUCCAAGUAGUGGCAGACUGGCCUGAACUGCAGGACACCUACCCAUCAGAGCAGGUGUGGGAUGUGGUUUUAUUUGCCUCCUGCCGGCUCUGUGACGAGUUCAUUUCCAGCUGCUGAUGUUUAAAUGUGAGGACUGUGGAGAGAGAAUAAAUGCCAAAGCCCAGAUAUUGUGGAGCUGAAAGAAAGAACAAUGCUGCUCCUGCUUCCCCUUCCUGCUCCUGGUUGCUGUUGUGAGACAAGAAGUUGGAGGUCUCCUGAAAUGAGGAUUGGACCCUACGACCCUAACCAGCAGAAAGCAGCUAAGAGAACCGUGCCCCCUCUCUCACUAACCCUUUCUCUCCCCUACUAGGUGUUGGGGUAUUGGAAGGGAUUGGGGUGGAGAAGGGACAAAGAGAUAUAAGAAAUAUAAAUAAAAGAGUUUUU